CCUACGGGAGGCAGCAGUGGGGAAUCUUGCGCAAUGGGCGAAAGCCUGACGCAGCCAUGCCGCGUGAAUGAUGAAGGUCUUAGGAUUGUAAAAUUCUUUCACCGGGGACGAUAAUGACGGUACCCGGAGAAGAAGCCCCGGCUAACUUCGUGCCAGCAGCCGCGGUAAUACGAAGGGGGCUAGCGUUGCUCGGAAUUACUGGGCGUAAAGGGAGCGUAGGCGGAUAGUUUAGUCAGAGGUGAAAGCCCAGGGCUCAACCUUGGAAUUGCCUUUGAUACUGGCUAUCUUGAGUUUGGGAGAGGUGAGUGGAACUCCGAGUGUAGAGGUGAAAUUCGUAGAUAUUCGGAAGAACACCAGUGGCGAAGGCGACUCACUGGCCCAAUACUGACGCUGAGGCUCGAAAGCGUGGGGAGCAAACAGGAUUAGAUACCCUGGUAGUCCACGCCGUAAACGAUGAGUGCUAGUUGUCGGCAUGCAUGCAUGUCGGUGACGCAGCUAACGACAUUAAGUACACCUCCGCCGUCGGGGAGGUACGGUCGGCGAAGAAGUUAAAACUAACUAAAGUUAAGUUAGUAGUUACGUUGUAGAGNGCGACGACGACGACGACGGAGGAGGAG
rnacentral:rRNA from 1 species